GAAGACGGGUGCGCGGGGCAAUAUUAUGAGCUUUGAAUCUAAUAUUAUUCCAUAGGUAUAGGUUUAACAAAUAUGUUGUUGGGUUACGAGUUUUUGAGUCGAAUACAUUUUAGACGGUGCCCCAAGGAAAACUACAAGUUCACCAGAUGGUUAAUGAAAGAAGGCCUACUUCGAAAAUGGAUGAAAUGCCCCUCUUGCUCUCAUGUUAUGAAGUUGAAACGGUCCUACGGCAAAAAGGAGGCAGCAUGGACAUGCCGAGAUUCCUGUCACAAAGGGAAAACGGUGUCGAGGUCCAUCCGAAGUGGCUCAAUGUUUGAGAAUUCUCACAUUCGACUGCAUACGUGGAUGCAUUACAUCUACAGAUUCGCCCAAGGCCUUCGACUGAGACAAGUGGACAUGCUGCAGGAAGGAAUUACUCGGAGUUCUGCAACUCUGAGUAAACUUGCAGACAAGCUGCGGAGAGUUUGCAAAUCAGGAAUGAAAAGAAUGAGAAGAAGAGGCAAGCAGACUGUUGGACAAAGAGCAGAGAUUGUUAUGAUAGAUGAAAGCAAAUUUGGCCAUAAAAGAAAGGUAUGAAAGUUACUUAAACACUUAUGAGUAUUACUUUGAUGCCAAAUACAUGAUUUUGUGUCUAAAAACAUGUAUUUGAUGUUGGUUAAGUCUGAGCUAAACUCAGCUACUGAAAGUAGAGACAAUACAUACAUUUAAAACCUGUUUUUGCCUGAGGUGCUUGGAGGUGUAUCUGCUGUAUCUCGAGAAGUAACUACUGCAUUAUGAAAUAAGAUACAUUGUAGUUCAUUGAUGCAAUA